GCAUAUCAAUAAGCGGAGGGAAAAGAAACCCAACAGGGGAUUGCCCUAGUAACGGCGAAGUGAAGCGGCAACAGCUCAAAUUUGAAAUCUGGCCCCAGGCCCGAGUUGUAAUUUGGAGAGGAUGCUUUUGGCGCAGCGCCCCCCCGAGUUCCCUGGAAACGGGACGCCGUAGAGGGUGAGAGCCCCGUACGGGAGGGACGCUAAGCCUCUGUAAAGCUCCCCUCGACGAGUCGAGUAGUUUGGGAAUGCUGCUCUAAGCGGGAGGUAAAUUUCUUCUAAAGCUAAAUAUUGGCCCAAGACCGAUAGCGCACAAGUAGAGUGAUCGAAAGAUGAAAAGCACUUUGAAAAGAGGGUUAAACAGCACGUGAAAUUGUUGAAAGGGAAGCGCUUGUGACCAGACAUGCGCCCGUCGGAUCAUCCAGCGCUCUGCGCUGGUGCACUCCGGCGGGUUCAGGCCAGCACCGGCCUUCCCAGGCGGAUAAAAACAGCGGGAACGUAGCUCCUUCGGGAGUGUUAUAGCCCGUUGUAGAAUACGCCUGGGGGGGCCGAGGUACGCGCUCUGCAAGGGUGCUGGCGUAAUGGUCACCAGCGGCCCGUCUUGAAACACGGACCAAGGAGUCAAGCAUUAGGGCGAGUGUUUGGGUGUUAAACCCGCACGCGUAAUGAAAGUAAACGCUGGUGAGAGCUUCGGCGCAUCAUCGACCGAUCCUGAAGUAUUCCGGAUGGAUUUGAGUAGGAGCCUUACCGCUUGGGACCCGGAAAGUUGAUGAACUAUGCCUGUAUAGGGUGAAGCCAGAGGAAACUCUGGUGGAGGCUCGCAGCGGUUCCUGACGUGCAAAUCGAUCGUCAAAAUAUGGGCAUGGGGCGAAAGACUAAUUCGAAUCACUAGUAGCUGGUCUACCGCACGA
rnacentral:rRNA from 1 species